rnacentral:rRNA from 1 species
GACGAACGCUGGCGGCGUGCUUAACACAUGCAAGUCGAGCGGUAAGGCCCUUUCGGGGGUACACGAGCGGCGAACGGGUGAGUAACACGUGGGUGACCUGCCCUCAGCUCUGGGAUAAGCCUGGGAAACCGGGUCUAAUACUGGAUAUGACUCCAUGACGCAUGUUGGUGGGGUAGGAAAGCCUUGUGCGGCUGAGGAGUCGGGCCCGCGGCCUAUCAGCUUGGUUGGUGGGGUGANGGCCUACCAAGGCGACGACGGGUAGCCGGCCUGAGAGGGCGACCGGCCACA